GACGAACGCUGGCGGCGUGCUUAACACAUGCAAGUCGAACGGAAAGGCCCUGCUUGCAGGGUACUCGAGUGGCGAACGGGUGAGUAACACGUGGGUGAUCUGCCCUGCACUUCGGGAUAAGCUUGGGAAACUGGGUCUAAUACCGGAUAGGAGCCAUCUUGAGUGUGGUGGUUGGAAAGUUUUUUCGGUGUAGGAUGAGCUCGCGGCCUAUCAGCUUGUUGGUGGGGUAAUGGCCUACCAAGGCGGCGACGGGUAGCCGGCCUGAGAGGGUGUACGGCCACAUUGGGACUGAGAUACGGCCCAGACUCCUACGGGAGGUAGCAGUGGGGAAUAUUGCACAAUGGGCGCAAGCCUGAUGCAGCGACGCCGCGUGGGGGAUGAAGGCCUUCGGGUUGUAAACUCCUUUCGCUAGGGACGAAGCUUUUUUGUGACGGUACCUAGAUAAGAAGCACCGGCUAACUACGUG
rnacentral:rRNA from 1 species